rnacentral:rRNA from 1 species
UGCGUAGGUGGAUUAAUAAGUUGGAAUUUAAAUCCCGCAGCUUAACUGCGGACCUGGUUCCAAAACUGUUGAUCUUGAGUUCGAAAGAGGGGAGUGGAAUUCCUAGUGUAGCGGUGGAAUGCGUAGAUAUUAGGAGGAACACCAGUGGCGAAGGCGGCUCUCUGGUUCGAUACUGACACUAAGGCACGAAAGCGUGGGGAGCAAACAGGAUUAGAUACCCUGGUAGUCC